rnacentral:rRNA from 1 species
CCUACGGGAGGCAGCAGUGAGGAAUAGUGGUCAAUGGACGCAAGUCUGAACCAGCCAUGCCGCGUGCAGGAAGACGGCUCUAUGAGUUGUAAACUGCUUUUGUACGAGGGUAAACGCAGAUAAGCGGAUCUGUCUGAAAGUAUCGUACGAAGAAGGAUAGGCUAACUCCGUGACAGCAGCCGCGGUAAUACGGAGGAUUCAAGCGUUAUCCUGAUUUAGUGGGUUUAAAGGGUGCGUAGGCGGUCGGAUAAGGUAGAGGUGAAAUCCCGAGGCUCAACUUCGGAAUUGCCUCUGAUACUGUUCGGCUAGUGCGUUGUUGCUGUAGGCGGAAUGUCUGGUGUAUCGGUGACAUGCUU